rnacentral:lncRNA from 1 species
UCUGCUUAUUUUGUUGAGUCUUUCAGUGACUUUCAGCUGCAAGGGCAACUCUACUGAGAAGGAAAGAUUUCACUCAGUAAACAUUAGCAUGUUUCCAACCCUGCCUAGCCUCUCAUUUCCAACAAUCAACUUGAUUGUUCUGUAUUUUUAGGCCAGGAUACACUAGGGCUGAAUUUCUGUAACUCAGGAUGUUCUAUUUUAAUCAUCAGCAAUUUUAAGGCAUGGCAACAUCUGAAAGAAAAAAAAAACGUAAUGACUCUUUCUUACACACAGAACAUGCACUUAAAAUUGUCAAAACUCUCCAUCUCCAGCAUUAAAACAAUCAUCUUUCAAGAACAAAAUCCUUUCUCAGUGUCUCUCAGCCCACAAGCCAUGAGAAUGUGUCUCCAUUUCAAAACCCAGUCUGUACCGUCAUGCUUCCGCUGUUUCUCAGCAAGCUGCCUUUCUUUGUAACUUUUUUCUUCCAAAUCUGAUUGAUAGUGAAGCUGGAGCCUGAGAUGUAAAUUAAUAAACCACACCAGGAACUCCUUGCAUGGCAAAAGCUGAACAGUACAAAUCCAUUGUUUUCCUGGAUGUGAAAUGCCAGUCUGUUCUUGCAUGAGCAAACUGGAUUAAAGUCACUUUCCUUGGGGCCUGCGGAUUUCACAAGGAGAACUGCAUCUGAGCACAUAUUCUUAAAAACCCUUCACAGUUGUCUGUGCGUCCUGCAGUUCCAUACUCUGUAUCAUAUAAAGCAGAAGGUGUUUAAGAGCUUGCUAGCCGUCAUUUAAAUCCAUGACUCAAGACGACCAACACUGGGUUACCAAUAAUCUUCAGAAAGUACCACCUACUCACCGAGUGUAACAUUUCUUGUAGUUAGCGACCUCUGCUUAGGAAAUCACCAGCUCCUGGCAAUGAAUCCAUACUUCCAAGAACUCACACAUUCAGGCAAAUAUAUGGACAUACAGCUCUAAAUAUAGAUACAGAGAGGUCUGCCGUGACAGUUCAGUAGGAGACUGGAAAUACUUUUGCUUUCUGUAUCGAUAGUACUUUCUUUCCUUUUUAAAGAGAAGGUUUCGUUUUGAUCUUGAGAAAUUCUGAUAAAACCACCAACUGAAAACCUGCCAUUAUAAAGGAGGGAUUUCACAACGUUCAUUCCAAAAAACUGUGGCUAUUCAUUUCUGGAAGUGAUUCACUGCAGAAGAAUCGCUGUUUGGGGGUGGAGGGAGCGUUGAUUUUUAGAAGCCAGCCUGCCCUCUGAGAAGUGAGCAGCAACCUCUGAGAUGGCAGCCACGUGCCUUCUGACCCCCAGCCCUGCUCCCUGAAUCACCACCCCUCGAGAUGACACGCAGUGACCAAUUUCCUCUUAAAACUCCCUUCUGUUCAAAAACCCUAUGAUCCAUGCACCCUCUGUCUAAUCCUCUGCGAUGGGGCCAGUCUGCAGAUCCGUCUGGGCGGGCUGCGGUAGCAUUCUCCACCUGCCAACACUCAGUUGCUGAGAUGACGCCUUGCUGUGUUGCCCAGGGUGGUCUCUAAUUCCUGGCCUUUAGCAAUUCUCCCGCCUUGGCCUCCUAAAGCACUGGGGUUACAGGCAUGAACCACUGUGCCCAGCCUGCAUGAUGUAAUCUCCAAAUUGAGGGUUUUUAAACAAUGAAAUGGAGCGCACUCUUUCGUGGCACUUUUAUAGGCAGGAGAGAGAGUGGUCUCACAACGGAAGGGCACCAGCCACUGAGAAGUCCUAAGGCCGUGUUUGAGUUCUGGCUCAUCUUUUUUGCUAAUUUGCUCUUAUGCAUAUCACCCAACCUCGCUAAGCCAGUUUCAUCAUCAGCGAGAACAGCACACUGACAUGCAGGGCCAGCUCAGGCGCUACCACAAGCUACACAUCCGUCCAUUCGUUUAAUCUUCACAGCAGCCCUGGAGGUCACCCAGGCAUGGAAUGCACAGCUCUGCCAGACAGAAAGCGCUUUGGAUGCCUGAGAAACAACAGCUUGUCCGGGCUACUGAUGCGAAGAGAGGCCAUGGUUUCCUUUUUCUCUGCUCUGAAUGGCAGCCUUGACGUCACAACAGCUAGGAACCACUGGAGGGACAAAUAACAAGGCGCAAGCCAGAAGCGCCCUGCUCUGUCGCAGGGGCAGGGCCAUUUUCAUCCAGUUCUGAUGUCUUCUGUGGCCGCUGCGAGUCGGCGGGAGUAGAGACAAAUGACUGGAGCUUUAGGCGUAAAGGCGGUCUCUCUCUAGGCUGAUCAAACAGCCCUUUGCCCAGUGCUAAUUGCCUUCACGGAACCUGGAUAAACUACAGUUCCCGAAGAAACACAGCACAUUCACAAACAUCUGAAGCCAACUGCAAGGCACCCGUCACUCAGCGAGAAAAGCAGAAAGGUGCCAAUUCAGAUGGCUGAGCUACUUCGCCUGGGUCCCGACCUGUAUCACCACAGGGUCACAGAAAUGGAACCUUCUCCGUCACACCUCCUGAUGGCAGUCAGCUGUGACCCGCUGAAUCCAGGACAUCAUGCAUUCCAGUUUCAUUUGCGAGAACAUUUCCAGGUCCGGCUGAAGCCUAGUGGCUCCAGCAGAGGUCUCAACCCCUUUGGGAUGCUCAGUGGGAGACAGAAUCAAGGGCCAAUGAUCCAUGACCUAGUCCUAGUGCCCAUGUCAGUUUGUCAAAGGCCCUCAGAGCAGAUUGUGUUUUCCCUGGCGGGGGCUUGACUUCUUUGCUUUAAAAAGGAUUCUUAAGUAUUUAUUGCAGUAAAAUUAACCACCUUCAAAUUUCUGCCAGAUCCCCUGGAGGUAUAUAGCUUAUUAACACAAAACAAAUGUGACACUUGAAAGGCAGGAGACUUGGUUUCUAUUCUCUGGCCCACUACUGACUUAUUGGGUGGCUUCAGGCAAAUAAGUGAAAUCAAGAAGACACCAUCUUCAACAAGCACAGAGUGGGCACCUGGCAGGUGAGCAGUGCCCUGUGAGGUCUGGGGCUGGGUUCGGUGGUGAAACUAGGUCAGCACACACAGCCCUUUGCUGGGGGCCCACUGCCUGGGGUAGGAUUUUUGUAGCUGGGUUCAAGGUGGACAUGCUGAAAUGUGACCCUAAAAUGUUUGUACUCUUGAAGCUGAAGGAGUGGGAAGAAACCUGUCAUUUAAAGAAGGACAGUAUGGCCAGGUGUGGUGGCUCACACCUGUAAUCUCAGCACUUUGGGAGGCCAAGGUGGGAGGAUCACUUGAGUCCAGGAGUUUGAGACUAGCCUGGGUAACAUAGGGAGACCACAUCUCUACAAAACAUUUAAAAAUUAGCCAGGCAUGGUGGGAUGUGCCUGUAGUCCCAGCUACUCAGGAAGUUGAGGCAGGAGGAUCACUUGAGCCCAGGAGGUCAAGGCUACAGUGAGCUAUUGUCAUGCUACUGCACCCCAGCCUGGGUGACAGAGUGAGACCAGGUGGAAACGAAGGCAAGCAAAUGCAGUCAUUUUGUUGGAGGACUAUUCUACAUUUCCAAAGCAAUGAAGACAUGACCCCAAACUAAACUCUCCUGCAACGUAUUCUUACAAGAAAAAGGCUAAAAGCCUUAUUGCUUAACAAAAGCUAAACAAUGUGAAUUAUUUCAAUAACUGGUCCAAAAAGCUGCAGCAGGCCACUGAGUAACUUGGACAUCUGUUGCCAUGCUUGUUCAUGCUUUCCCCUGAGAUGACAUAUAUGUAUCAUCAUUAAUAGGUGUCCUUGAUUUUGAUAAGAACAAUAUUCCUGUACAUCCCCACAUCUCCUGUACAUAGCCAUGUGCUGCCAUCUUCUGAUUAUGCCCAGUGGAGUGUAAACAUUUUUUCAUGAAAAAGCAAAAUCAAUAAAAGUAAAACUCCCCACUUUUCCUGCCAGUAGUGCCCUUGGUAACAAACAGGGCAGAGACACCAAUACAGAGAUUACAAUACUCUCAGACAUAAUUCAAGCAGAACUUUAAAUGGAUCAGUGCAUGUUAUAAACUUUCUUUUUUUUGCAAGUGCCAAGCGUGCUUAUGCUACUAUUCAUUCUGAGAUAGACAGAUCAUCAAUGACCUUCUGGGUCACUGACUAGGGAGAAAGCUGACUAUAAAAAAGAGUGGGAGAAAAAUAAAGUGGGGGUUGCUUCCUUCCACCCUAGACCCCCUACUGCCUUGAAUGAAAGAAGACAGAUGGCAGCCACCUUUCCCUUUAAUUAGGAGGGGCAGCUUAGAAGGGACAGUCCUGCUCACUUGGCACUAUCUUUAACAAGACUGUUUAGAUGGCAAUGCUCUGCUCAUUCGCCCUUCUUUCAAACUGUUCUUAAUUUUUCACUUACAAACUGAAUUUCCGUAAAUUUAAUGGUGAAACAAUUACAGCUCUGACUACAACGCUAUACAUAAAUGACACACUUAAAGAUGUUUGCUGAAUUAAAAAUUCACAGAUAUUCCUAUAAAGAGGCUGGAAUGUUUCAAAUGAAAUACAGCUACCUCCAGUCCUAUCAGCACCACUUUGAGAUAAAAUAUGAAUUCCCAGGACACAGAAGCUCUAACUUAAAUUCACAACAUUCCAUACUAGACAUAGAAGUAACACCCCUGGUUUCUGCUUUCCAGUUCCACACUCCAGUCGUGCUCCCACCUUUUACCUUCAAGGUAUUGCUGUUCAAGUUGACAAAAAAAAAAAAAAAAAAAAAAAAAAAAAAUUCUACAGUAAAAAUCAGUCCUAAAUGUAGAAGGGAAGAUCAUUUAAUAACAAAUCACAAACCACUCUUCAUCUCUAUUUGCUCUGCAUUUUCAGAAACCAUAGAACUUUAUAUUACAAGUUAAUCAAUCCACAUCACAUCUCUGGAGAGAGGAUCAGCAUAAAAAAACAAACAAAAUGGAAAACAGGAGCCAUGUGUCAGAAUUAGGCUAGUGUCACAGGAUCUUCUAUGGAGGUGACGAAGCCUCUUCAUUAUUUUCUAGAGGCAAUUAAGCACAUUUUCCAUAAAUCUACAUGGCACAAAACUUUCUAACAUGAAAGUAAAGUUUAGUUGCUGUUGACAGGGUUAGGUCUCUAUACAUUGUAUCUCAUUUUUAUAUUAAAUUUGUUUUUAUCAACAUCAUUAAAUAAUUGAUAUUCUCGCAGCUCUUUUCCAUUUCCUGAUGCGUUUUUAAAUUGCAGCCUCUUGAUGUUUACUUAAGCUUUAUUUAUAUAUAUAGUGCGUAGGUUCCUGGAGCACAAAGAAGAAAGUUGCUCAGAUUUAUCCAGACCUCACAUAAGUUUAUAGAUUUCAAGUAGCCACUGUAUUUUAUUACAGAAAAUACAUUCUUCAAGAGGAAAAUGUUAAGGCCAUAGAAGCUUUCACCUUAGCUAUCUAAGCUUGUAUUAGGUCAUCAUUAAAUAGUAUCUGUAUCAUUCUUAUGUGUUCCGUAAGUUAUGCCACAAAUACCAGACCAAGUACACUCAGUCUAGAAACAAAAAAGUGGGAAAUAAAGGUUAAAACAUUCUAAUAGGUGUAAUGGGCUGAUAGAUGACUUUAUAUUACAAAGCUACUUAAGACAAUUCUACUUUUCUAGAAUACAACGCAUUAAUAUAAACAUUUGAAAUUCAGAAGAUUUGGCCUGUGGAUGCUUUGUUUCUCAAUGCAAUUCUUGUUAAUAUGUUAGUAAGUAAUAAUUUAUUAAUACCAAUAAUAAAAAAUUAACAUGGUUGAGAGCAGGUGUAUCUCAUAGCCUUUAUCAAUUUAAUGCUUUUUUUUCUGAGACAGGUUCUCUCUCUGUCAUCCAGGCUGAAGUGCAGUGGUGCCCACUGCAGCCUCAACAUCCUGGACUCAAUCAAUCCUCCCAUCUCAGCUGUCCCUGUAGCUGGGACUACAGGUGGGUACCACCAAGCCCAGCUAAUUUUUGUAUUUUUUUUGUAGAUACAAGGUUUUACCAUGUUGCCCAGGCUGGUCUUGAAUUCCUAGGCUCAAGCAAUCCGCCUCUCUGGGUCUCCCAAAGUGCUAGGAUUAUAGGUGUGAGCCACUGUGCCCAGCCCCAUUAGUUUUUAUCUCACAAAAAAGUAAAAAUGUAGAUAUUAAAAAUAAUAGGCCAAAGCAUCACCUUAUUUAUAACCCAUCUUGUUUGAAAAGUAAUUUAAGGCAGUUCAUAAAGUACAGUCUGACAUUUCAAAUAUGUAACUUAAAUGAAACAAGUUAAAAUUAAGGGUGCAGCACCUUGGGGGUUGAGGCAAGAGGACUGUUUGAGCCCAAGAGUUCAAGACCAGCCACGGCAACACAGUGAGACCCCAUCUCUAAUGAUUAAAAAAAAAAACAAAUAAAAUCGGCCGCAGCGGCGUCCGUACCUCCACCCACCGGGAGCCCCUCGAAGCAUCCCGGAGGGGCUUCUGGCGCUGCAGGAGCCCCGAUCGGGGAGCCACAGCAUCCGGGAGCCGUGGUGUCUGUGCGUGCGUGGAGCCUGUGCUCAUGACAUAGGAAGCCGAACAGAAGGAGCGUCCUCAAAUCCUUUCCUACAGUCACCAAACCCACGCUCUGUUAAAAUGACAUUUCGUGGCUCCUACUUUGUUUCCCCGGAGAGCAAUGAGUUUUCUAUCAGGCCUGAUUUAGUUUGACAAAAGUCAAAAAGAAAAACUGGAUUUGUCCCUCUGCGAGUUCAGUCAGAUCGCUGGGAAAACAGAAAUGACAAAACAAUAAUAACAGAAAUAGAACCAGGCAUUUGAUACAUAAUUACCAUCACCACGGCUUUCAAGCUUUCUGGAAUUACGUUCCUCCAGUAACUGUUGAUGAUGCUUGCAGGAGGCAAAAUGCAAUGCAGUUUUUCUCUUCCGCAGCUAUAUUAGGGCUUUGUUGCUGACAACAGUGAAAACUUGUUUGUGUCAGGAAGUGAGGUACGGAGAUAUGACCU